AGUGAACGCUGGCGGUAGGCCUAACACAUGCAAGUCGAACGGCAGCACAGUAAGAGCUUGCUCUUACGGGUGGCGAGUGGCGGACGGGUGAGGAAUACAUCGGAAUCUACUUUUUCGUGGGGGAUAACGUAGGGAAACUUACGCUAAUACCGCAUACGACCUACGGGUGAAAGCAGGGGAUCUUCGGACCUUGCGCGAUUGAAUUAGCCGAUGUCGGAUUAGCUAGUUGGCGGGGUAAAGGCCCACCAAGGCGACGCUCCGUAGCUGGUCUGAGAGGAUGAUCAGCCACACUGGAACUGAGACACGGUCCAGACUCCUACGGGAGGCAGCAGUGGGGAAUAUUGGACAAUGGGCGAAAGCCUGAUCCAGCCAUACCGCGUGGGUGAAGAAGGCCUUCGGGUUGUAAAGCCCUUUUGUUGGGAAAGAAAAGCAGCAGGUUAAUACCCCGCUGUUCUGACGGUACCCAAAGAAUAAGCACCGGCUAACUUCGUG
rnacentral:rRNA from 1 species